GCGGAAAACUACCGCUUUUCCCGCUGGCCGAAAGUAGGACAUAAUUGUACGGAUAGUUACGGAGCCGAUUAGUUACCAGGCAAUUCACUCGGCCCCGGGGAACGCCAGUAGAAUCCAUCUUUUAUAAUCACCCGCGCGAGGAAAGAGGUUCUUAUAAAGUUAGGAUCCGAGAAAUCUGGUGACAUUUUCAAAACGGGACUUGGAUUUAACGGACUUGUUCGUAAGCGGAGAACUCCCCAUUGCUGCUAUGGUUACCAGGGCGUCCUUCUUUUCUGCCGUCUGCCUCAUCUUCUCCUGUCUGCUCUUGUAUACAUGCGCGGCACCUUAUCAGGGAAACAAUCGAUUCCAGACAGCCAAGCGAACCUUAGACCGGCCGUCAUCGGCCGAGCAAUGGCGGCCGUGCCCCCCUGGCGAGAAGGCUUCGGAGGACAUGGAGUGUUUUGACGAUUUGAUCCGAAUGUACUUGUACCUGAUGAACCGACGCGACAGGAAAAACUUCUAGGGAAACCACGUCCAUGUCACGUGACGAUAUAUGUUAAUGUUGUGACGGAUGAUCGGAAGCAAAAUAUAUUUGUUCCAUGUUAUUUUCCAGAAUUAUAAAAUGAUACUAGUUUCGACAUCAACUGAAUACAAGGAACGAUGCUGAAGGCUUGAAUGAGUGAUGUUGAAAUGCGAUUGGUCCGAUCUGACGACCUUCAAGAAGCGGUUUCGACGAUGUUAACGAAAACGUUUGUAAAAUUCACUGAAAGCAUUUUUUUGUGAAAAUGCUACAGCAACUAGCGACCCUUGACCUUUUGGAUUCUUUUAUAAAUGACCUAAAAUCUUUGCAAUUGACAUGUGACUGGCUAUACACACGCGCCAGUCUGUCUGUGGACAGAAUAGGUUCCACUAAUGUGCGGCGACGCGAUUUCGAACGAAUUUCACAAUGCGUGCGAUUUUUAAUUGUUUUGGUCCAGCAUCAGGCAGUCGCACGCCUCUCUGGUGGAUUGUAGAUGGCGAAAACUAGGACAUACCUUGCCCUAUUCCAACCCCGUCGCCGACCCAAUCACAGCAAUGUUCAGGAUAACUCGCACUAUUGCUUUUAGCGCGCUCGAUUACUAGCGCGGCGCUUGCGCGAGUAGGCGCCACAGUCCUUCCGGCACUGGCGCCUCAUUGCGCGCCAGGCCGAAGUGAGCGAAGUGAGCGAAGUGAGCGGGGUGGGUAACUUCGGGUUAAGCAGCGCCAGUAAUCGAACGCGCCAAAGUGAUAUAUGUUUUAGGAGCACCAUUUUGUUCGCAGGGGUUUUUGGUACUGGUUUGUUGUUCUUGUUGGAGGUGGUAAACAAUGGCAGAACAGAUUUCCACCUAUGCCGCGGAGCAACCAUGCUAUUACGCAACCCCUCACCAGUCGCCAGUCAGAACAAAUAAAAGAGACACCAUGGACACAUAGUUUUAGACAUCGCCACCACAUGACUACGAAAACUCAAUUGUAAGCAACAUGGACAAUGACUUUGGAUCAAAUAUAAAUUGUUAUUUUUACAUCAAAAAGUGUUACUUUUGUCCUGAUAGUCUUCCACCGGUUGAUAGGUUUUGAUCCUGACUUGUUAGAAUCCCCAAUAGGUCAGUGGCAGAACGGAAAAGUAUAUCAGGGUACGAACGCUUUUAAAAACGGCUUCUACAAGAAGGCGGGAUCUUUAAAGGCAUCAAUUCAGUCUCCCGGUCUUCCGUUUCGUAAUGUCGAAUUUUACAUCUACCCGUUGAAACUAUCGCAGUAGGUCGAGUGAGACUUGGCAACGAUGAUCACCAUUGACGAUGCUUGGAGAAUGGCAUCAAUUCUCAACCUCUGUCACAUGGACAAACCUACAUGAAUCCUCAAAAGGUCGGAAAUAUAUCC